GACGAACGCUGGCGGCGUGCUUAACACAUGCAAGUCGAACGGAAAGGCCCUGCUUGCAGGGUACUCGAGUGGCGAACGGGUGAGUAACACGUGGGUGAUCUGCCCUGCACUUCGGGAUAAGCCUGGGAAACUGGGUCUAAUACCGGAUAGGAGCCAUUUUUAGUGUGAUGGUUGGAAAGUUUUUUCGGUGUAGAGAUGAGCUCGCGGCCUAUCAGCUUGUUGGUGGGGUAAUGGCCUACCAAGGCGGCGACGGGUAGCCGGCCUGAGAGGGUGGACGGCCACAUUGGGACUGAGAUACGGCCCAGACUCCUACGGGAGGCAGCAGUGGGGAAUAUUGCACAAUGGGCGAAAGCCUGAUGCAGCGACGCCGCGUGGGGGAUGACGGCCUUCGGGUUGUAAACUCCUUUCGCUAGGGACGAAGCUUUUUGUGACGGUACCUAGAUAAGAAGCACCGGCUAACUACGUGCCAGCAGCCGCCGCCG
rnacentral:rRNA from 1 species